GUCCCCAUCGUCUAGAGGCCUAGGACAUCGCCCUUUCACGGCGGUAACAGGGGUUCGACUCCCCUUGGGGACGCCA
rnacentral:tRNA from 2 species